ACGGGUGAGUAACACGUAGGCAACCUGCCCCUAAGACUGGGAUAACUACCGGAAACGGUAGCUAAUACCGGAUAAUCUCUUUCCUCUCCUGAGGAAAGAAUGAAAGGCGGAGCAAUCUGCCACUUGGGGAUGGGCCUGCGGCGCAUUAGCUAGUUGGCGGGGUAACGGCCCACCAAGGCGACGAUGCGUAGCCGACCUGAGAGGGUGAACGGCCACACUGGGACUGAGACACGGCCCAGACUCCUACGGGAGGCAGCAGUAGGGAAUCUUCCGCAAUGGGCGCAAGCCUGACGGAGCAACGCCGCGUGAGUGAUGAAGGUUUUCGGAUCGUAAAGCUCUGUUGCCAGGGAAGAACGUCCGGUAGAGUAACUGCUGCCGGAGUGACGGUACCUGAGAAGAAAGCCCCGGCUAACUACGUGCCAGCAGCCGCGGUAAUACGUAGGGGGCAAGCGUUGUCCGGAAUUAUUGGGCGUAAAGCGCGCGCAGGCGGCUAUUUAAGUCUGGUGUUUAAACCUUGGGCUCAACCUGGGGUCGCACUGGAAACUGGGUGGCUUGAGUACAGAAGAGGAAAGUG
rnacentral:rRNA from 1 species